rnacentral:rRNA from 1 species
GAUGAACGCUGGCGGCGUGCCUAAUACAUGCAAGUCGAGCGAACGGACGAGAAGCUUGCUUCUCUGAUGUUAGCGGCGGACGGGUGAGUAAAACGUGGAUAACCUACCUAUAAGACUGGGAUAACUUCGGGAAACCGGAGCUAAUACCGGAUAAUAUUUUGAACCGCAUGGUUAAAAAGUGAAAGACGGUCUUGCUGUCACUUAUAGAUGGAUCCGCGCUGCAUUAGCUAGUUGGUAAGGUAGCGGCUUACGAAGGCAACGAUGAAUAGCCGACCUGAGAGGGUGAUAGGCCACACUGGAACUGGGACACGGUCCAGACUCCUACGGGAGGCAGCAGUAGGGAAUCCUCCGCAAUGGGCGAAAGCCUGAAGGAGCAACGCCGCGUGAGUGAUGAAGGUCUUCGGAUCGUAAAACUCUGUUAUUAGGGAAGAACAUAUGUGUAAGUAACUGUGCACAUCUUGACGGUACCUAAUCAGAAAGCCACGGCUAACUACGUG